rnacentral:rRNA from 1 species
CCUACGGGAGGCAGCAGUGAGGAAUAUUGGUCAAUGGCCGGAAGGCUGAACCAGCCAAGCCGCGUGAAGGACGACGGCGCUACGCGUUGUAAACUUCUUUUGUCAAGGGACAAAAUCAGGCUCGAGAGCCUGACCGAAGGUACUUUACGAAUAAGCAUCGGCUAACUCCGUGCCAGCAGCCGCGGUAAUACGGAGGAUGCGAGCGUUAUCCGGAUUUAUUGGGUUUAAAGGGUGCGUAGGCGGGCUGUUAAGUCAGUAGUGAAAGCGCGGGGCUCAACCCCCGAGUAGCCUUGGAUACUGGCUGUCUUGAGAGGAGUAGAGGUAGGCGGAAUGCGUGGUGUAGCGGUGAAAUGCUUAGAUAUUGCGAAGAACUCCGAUUGCGAAGGCAGCUUA